rnacentral:tRNA from 1 species
GAGGGCAUAGCUCAGUGGUAGAGUGCGUGCUUAGCAUGCGCAAGGUCUGGGUUCAAUACCCAGUCCCUCCA